CCUUACUGUACUUACUGUUCUUGCUGUGUCUUGCUCUUCAGGUUCUAACUUCUUCUCACUGCUUACACUCUGUCUCUUUGCUGUCCGCAAUGUGCGCGCCAGCCUUCCUCUCUUUCUGUUCACGAGUAUGUCAUCAGUCAUCACAUCUCUGCUGAAGAUCUAUGCACUUUUCUGAUCCCUGGUAGAUGAGCUCACAUGUCAGCUUUGCUGUGCAGACUGGGACAGGAUGAAAAAAUUGGUGGAGAUUUAAUGACAGCACUGUUAUACGGCUAAAUAACAAGAUAAGGUAGAUAGUUACACUGUAUACAUACAUAGUAUACAACUCCCUUGUCAGUGCAUC